rnacentral:rRNA from 1 species
ACGUAGGGGGCAAGCGUUGUCCGGAUUUAUUGGGCGUAAAGAGCGUGUAGGCGGCCAGGUAGGUCGGUUGUGAAAACUGGAGGCUCAACCUUCAGACGUCGACCGAAACCCCCUGGCUAGAGUCCGGGAGAGGAGAGUGGAAUUCCUGGUGUAGCGGUGGAAUGCGCAGAUAUCAGGAAGAACACCUGUGGCGAAAGCGGCUCUCUGGAACGGUACUGACGCUGAGACGCGAAAGCGUGGGGAGCGAACAGGAUUAGAUACCCUGGUAGUCCACGCCGUAAACGAUGGGCGCUAGGUGUGGGAGGUGUCGACUCCUCCCGUGCCGAAGCUAACGCAUUAAGCGCCCCACCUGGGGAGUACGGCCGCAAGGCUA